CGUAAUCAGGUCAUUCCUCCUGCUGAGAUAGCCUACUGUUAUUAAUCCACCUCAGGCAGUGACCUGAAUCAGGGCUUUGUAGUUGAUGUGUGGUUGUUGUUGUCGUACGACGUCUUAACGUUUCCGUCUUGGUGAGCUCGGAUAUAUACAGAUAUUCACAACAUCUACGGGAUUUACAGCAAAUACACGAUUUCUACGUUCAGACUGAAAGAGGGAAUCCCUUGCUGCACGUGAUAAAAAUAGUUGGAAGACACCCUCGUGACGUCAUCUACGCCCAUGUUUGGAUCGAUCACCCACCUCAGGCGAAAAAUUGUGAAUUUUUUAUCAGAGGGCGGCGUCAGCGAUUAGUGAAACCGCUAGAGGAAAACUUAUACGCCCAUUCAUUCGUUAUUGAAUGGAAAACCCGGAACCAAUCGAGGCAAAAUGGCGAGAGCGGUCUGCGGAUGCACCAAUACCAAGCGUGCUCGCGAGCCGUGACCAACUCGGCUCAUCAACAAGCGACUUGCGUCUCUUCCUACAGGUGACAAGAGACAAAAUAACACAACUCAGGAGAGAGUUAGAACAGCAGGAAUUUAUUGAGAAGAGUUUGGAGGCUGAACUGAAGGAACGAGAGGAGAAAGAAAAAUGUGAAAAGGACGAGAAAUUUAUAAAUGAGUAUGUUUACAGUUUUGUCGGCAAAGACAAAAGGUGCAGUCAUCCACCAUUUUCUUACGACCCGGAAUUGGUUGACGCAAGGCGUGACAGUGACUGUGUGACUCGAAGCGGGAAGGAUGUCCACUCACCUGAACGAACAGUAAAUGGGAGUGGAGGAGAAAGGACAAGUGAUUCAUUUCUGCGAAAGUAUCAACAGAGAAAACACAUUUCGUGGUCGCAUUCAAGGGGGGACAACUCUGUCGUGACUCGAGCACCUGUCCCCGUUCACCACUCGAAAAUAAUUAUCGAUUCAGAACCGGAUUCGGACUAUGGCAAGGUAUGGGUGGUCCCGUCACGAUCAAAACAUGCAGUAACAACGAGAUAUUCAACAGGUAUGUUGCCUGCUACAAAUGUAAGUCCUAUUAUGUUACCUAAACAACCCCCUCCUGUUCCAAGAAAACCAAGCAAACCUCAACCUGCCCCGCGUCUAAGUUUACAUCGGAGCAGCUCGUCCGAUUUGUCACUGUUGAGCACCUCCGAGACAGAGACCAGUCCCCAGUUUAACUCUCUUCCACUUACCACAGUGAAUACCAACACAAUGGCCGAAUAUUCGACGGACAAUGGUCUACCUGGCUCGACAGAGAACACUGGUCAAAAUGAUGUGGCUGACAACGCAUCAAAUACAAACAGCGAGGAGGGGUGUGCCGAACGUUUGUCGAGUAAACACUCUACAGGACCUGAAUACACAAACAGCAAGUUGGUUAUCAGAGAGACACAGUGUGACAGUUUACCAGUGCGCCUCAGCACAGGUGAGAGGCCAGGGAUUCAGGACCUUUGUGCGUCGAGUUUAGUCAGUGCCGUUAACAUAAGCAAUUCUUUAACCCAUCUGGAUCAGGUCAUAUGCAAGGAAGAAGAAACAACCUGUCAGACGUUAGAUGAUACAAACAUGAAGAAACUGUAUCGUACAAAGAGUGACCGAAAACACCUUGAUACAGGUGAUGGAGCUAAGUUUGAUCAGAUCGAGGGAACGUAUCGCAAACUUAAUGAUGAUGAUACUUAUCUGAAACUCAAGGAUGAAAGUACUUCUCAGAAAGUGGAGGAUGAAUAUUCAACAGUGUCAAUUAAAACUGAGGAUUGUGGGGUUGUCAAUGUUGCGAUGAGGAGUAAGCCCGAGAAAACAAAAACUGAAUCAGAAUCUGAACAGCCUAAAUAUCACAGCAGGGCUCCAAGUUAUGAGAAUUGGACAAUUCAUCGUUGUCUUACGAGACAAGAUGAUUCGAAUGACAGUGAUGGAAGUGACAAUAUAUAUGACAAUAUCGUGUUUGGGGAGGUUUCUCCUGCGUCAACAUUACAGAAACAGCCUUACAAAGGUAGUAAAGAUUCAGGAUUGUGUGACGACUUGUCAACCAACGAGUCCUCCCCAUCGGUGUCGGACAGCGUGAGUGUCACGACGGAGGAAAGUGCUGUAGAUGGAGGUGCAGACAGUUCUGCGAAACCUGCAACAUCGGACGAGUCCGACGACGGAGACAAUGGAGAAUGUGUGGAUGUACAAUCUGAUUCCAGCGACGAUGAUAAAAAUGCUGACAACAUAUCCCUUGCUUCCGACAUCGUGUUCAUCCCAGCCUCUGAGCUCACAGGAUUGACCAAUCAUGAAGCAGACAGCAGGUCACCUGAUCAGAGCCUCGACUCCCACACCAAUAUCCCAAUGCCAGUGUCCCCCCAGAUCAAGCGAGUGGUGCUUGAGUCCCCCAUGGUCAGCAGCGGAGAGGAGGAGGUGUCGUUUGAUGAGACUGACGGUGCACCGGAAGAGUUGUCUGCCCGUGACAAGCUGCUGCAGAUGAGACAGUACAUUGUGAAAGGGGUGCUGGAGAGUGAGAAGAGUUACCUCGCCAUCCUCGAACUUCUUAUCCAUUACAAGAGGUCACUAGAGGCGUCAAGUCAGACCUCGAAACCUGUAAUCUCAGAGGAGGAUAACAAUGCCAUCUUCUUCAACAUCAAGAAACUGUACGCCAUUCACCAGGAGUUUGUCAAGGAACUGGAGCCAAAGGUCAACAACUGGUCACAUGACCAGAAAAUUGGAGAAAUCUUCAAAAUGAUGGUGUUCCAGUUCCCCGAGUUUGGCAAGUACAUGAAGAACUACCAGGUGGCUGUGAACACCAUACACAGGUGCUCCCAGGAAAACCCACAGUUCAUGGAGAUCGCAGGGAAAGUGACAUUCGGUUCUCAUGCUAAAGAAGUAACAAAUCUUGAAGAUGCACUGUUCAAGCCUGUUCAGAGAGUCCAGAGGAACGCCCUGGUCCUUCAUGAUCUGAUCAAGCACACACCCGAGGAUCAUGAAGACCACCGGCUACUGAAGAAGGCCCUCGAUCUGUCACAGUACAACCUCGAGGAAAUCUCAUCCACCAUAAGGGAGAGUGGAGCUCUGCCCGAGGAGAAGCGCCACCUGGUGAAGAGUAGUUUCCUCGUGGAGCUGGUGUCGGGGCAGCGUAAGGUGCGCUACAUCUUCCUCUUCAGCGACAUCCUCGUCUGCACUAAGAAGGAGAGCAACAGGAAAGCGUCAAACUUUGAUGUGAAGUGGAUCAUUCCCCUGUGUAGACUUACAAUAGAUACACACUUUGACUACCAAGAUGAUCUAAAACACUCUCAGAAGGAGAAUAUCGAGGCAAUGAAGAAGAAGAUUGGCCAGCUGAAGUCUGACCUGAGAGAUGAAGUGAAGAGCGAGGAGGCUAGAGUGUCGAAGCACUGGUCCAUCAGUGGUUUAGCUGCAGCCCGCAAUGUAGACAAACUCAAGAGAAAGAUCCAUGAGCUGGAGGCCCAGCUGAUCCUGCACCUGCCCAAGCUGGCGGUCAAGCUGACCCACGAGGGAGGGAAGGUCCACACCCUGCUGAUGACCACUGACUACGAGAGGGAGGAGUGGCUUGAAACCAUGACAUCACUCAGUAGGAAAUGUGGCCGAGAUGACCCAGGUCUCAGCACAUACGAGGUACAGGAACUCGUCAACACCUCCAAGGCCCUACCUCAGGUCAACAAGUUCGGCUCUGUGCUCAUGCAGAAAGAUGAGGAGGUGUUGAAUGGGACUUUGAACGUGACUGUCCACAAACUGAACGGUCUGGCAACUCCUUGUGACACCUACUGUUGUGUGGAGAUGGACUCGUACGAUCAUUUCUUCAUGAAGGCACGGACCAACAUCUGUCCGUCAUCAGCAGACCCAGCGUGGGACGAGGACUUUGAGCUGGAGCUUGACGGGAGUCAGACGCUCCGUGUACUUGUGUACGAGAAGGUGGACAACAAGUCUGACAGGCUGCUUGGGAGAGGAGCUCUUGAGCUUAGCAAAUCUUGGCUGAAGACAAAUUUCCAAGAAAAAACAAUUUCGAUGAAUGACGUAUCACUGGUGAUAUCGGUUCGUCACACCCCAGCUAACCGCACAAUGCGGAGGACACCCUCCCAACAGAAGUCCGGGGUAUUUGGGGUGAAGAUCAGCACGUCGGCCCGCCGCCAGGGGAAGACCGUCCCGUCCAUCGUGACAGCAUGCAUACAGGAAGUGGAGAAACGAGGCAUGGAUGAAACGGGGAUUUACCGAGUGUCGGGGGUCACGUCCGAAGUGCAGAGGUUGAAGAAGACUUUUGAUAAAAAUGUACGAGCAGGGACGCAUCUUGUGACGGACUGCGACAUCCACGCUGUCACUGGCAUGCUCAAGCUGUAUUUCCGCGAGCUGCCCGAACCCCUCUUCACUGAGGCAAACUACACCAACUUCGUGGAUUCAUUACGGUUGUCGGACAAGGAAGCUCAGGAGAAAUGCAUGCUGGGUCUCCUCCACAACCUCCCCGACGCCAACUACUACACCAUCGUCACCCUGAUGGAGCAUCUAGUCAGAGUUGCAAAGAAUGUGAAGGAGAACAAGAUGACCAUCCACAACCUUGCCACUGUCCUCGGUCCGACCUUGCUUGCCCCAGCUGUCAAAGAUACAACCGCCAACCCUCUAGAAAUGAUGUCCAAAACAACCGAACAGGUCAUGCAUCAGUCAGCCAUUGUCAACUACUUCCUUUCCCUCGCUGCUCAAGGUCGUAGUCUCAGAAGGUCAGCUCAGCUCUAGGUCAAGGUCAAGAAAAUCUCAGAGGUGAAGGACAUGACCUUCUGAACAAGAUUUCUGUUUGUAGAACAAUGUCUCAACAAGAUAGAAAUUUGUUCACUGAAACUUAUUUUUUGUUGUUGAUAUUGAAAGGACGUAGUAACAGAAGCUUUGAAUCUGUGUCUUCUGUAAUAUUUCCAUACUUUCCUUCCAUGUUGAGACCAAAGAUCCAUGAAACAUUCCAUCAUUAACUUCAACAUUGCAACACAGUGACCUUGUCUGAGAUGUGAUGUGUGGACCGUGAGGGAAAUAGCAGAUGACAUCAGGAUUUAAGCUGUGAAAGCCUCUGUUGCUCAUGGUUCUGGGUAAAUCUAAGGAGGUUUUGGUGUUGGACUUUCUGUGUUCAUCACUGAAGGUGACAUCAUGAAGCUGAUCUGGAGAUCUUGGGUGCAACACGUGAUGUGGACACGUGUCGGACAGGAGAAGAGUCAUGACUUUGUGAGGUGUUGGAUGUUUGAGAUCAGAAAAGUCCUGAUGUCAUGACGUGUUGGAUGUUUGACACAUAUGUCAUGAAAACAAAUCAUCAUGAUGUCGUGAGGUGUUGAUAUCUGAGGACUGAAGUACCAUGACGUCAUGUGACAUGUGAAACACAAGAGAACUGAAACACCAUGUCAUGUGACAUGUGAAACACAAGAGAACUGAAACACCAUGUCAUGUGACAUGUGAAACACAAGAGAACUGAAACACCAUGAUGUCAUGUGACAUGUGAAACACAAGAGAACUGAAACGCCAUGUCAUGUGACAUGUGAAACACAAGAGAACUCAAAUGCCAUGACGUCAUGUGACAUGUGAAACGCAAGAGAACUGAAAUGCCAUGACGUCAUGUGACAUGUGAAACACAAGAGAACUGAAACGCCAUGACGUCAUGUGACAUGUGAAACAAAACAGACAGACCUUGCAAGUGGUGUUUUGUACAGCCAUGUCCCAAUGUCACGUGACACCUAAGAUGUGGGAUGUUGGAGAACAAAAGUUCCCUGUUCUUAGGUGACUUUUCAGAGUACUGAAAUGCUAAAAUGAGACUGCAGGACUCGAUAGAGCCAGAGUCAAGAAGACCUGAGACAUGUUCAGGUGUCUCUUGCCUUUGUCUUGUGUUACAUACCAACAGGAUGGUUGGUACCAGCGAAUGGUAUGCUGUCCUUAAGCAUAUCCUGUCUAUAAUGUACACUGACAAGUUUUAUGCGGUGAAGUGCUUUCUGUGUUUAGUGAAUGACUGUGUUUAAAGAGCUAUAUACCUUUUGUUUGUAAUUAUCUCAAGUGCUUUAAUGUGCCGACGUGAAGGAUUUUAGACAUUGAUGACCAAGAUGUGUUUCCCAAUUAUUCUAUCAGUAGGCUGUAUGUGCAGCAAGGUUUAAGAUGUUCUAUAUUACGUAUGCUGUGUUGCCAGGGACACAAGAGGCAGUGGGGUAGCCAAGUGGUUAAUACGUUUGCUCGUCACGCCGAAGACCCAGGUUCGAUUCCCCUCAUGGGUACAAUGUGUGAAGCCCAUUUCUGGUGUUCCCUGCCGUGAUAUUGCUGGAAACUUGCGAAAAGCGGCUUAAAACUAAACUCACUCACUCCAAGAGUAUGAAAGUUGUCAUUCUUUCAAUGAUCGCUACAGCCUUCCCAAACAACAUUGUUAAGAUGUUUGUAUUUUUUGGUUUGUAUUAAUUUACACGUUCCCAUGCUAUUUAUUUUCCCUGCAUGCACUGAAGCUGUUUCCAUAGCGACUGAUUGUUAUGGUCUUGAUGUGUUUGUGUGUAAACAUUGUAUGGAGAGAUAUGCUUGAUAUAUACGUCUAGUCUUUGACUGCUAGCCACAUGGCUGUGUGUUGUUCCAGAGUGUUCUGACAGGUUUCCAUGGAGAUACUCUGUUGCCAUGGUUUCAUUGCAGUUGUGUCAGACAUAGUUACAAGUAACAGUUAUGCACCAUCUAAAAAAUGUUUAUGUUGUGUUGUCAUCAACAUGUUACCAUGGUAACAGAACUUAUAUCCAAGGUUACCAAUUUUAGUCAUUUUACCAUAGUUAAAUGGUUUUUGGUGAUACAGAGCACACAGAAUACUGUAGUUUUAGAGAAAAAGGUGGCAAAUUUAUUUUGCUGCUGUUAGUUUAAAUUUAGUACCAAGUACUGAUUGUAGUAUAAACAUUUUGAAAUGAUAUUUAAGUAGAUCUGUUGAUCAUUCCAUGAAGCCUGUACAAAAUGAAACCUUCAGCUUAUAUAGAACAGAAACAUUCUAGUAGACUGUACAUAGUUGUAUAUUCAUGUCCAGUUGUAAAUAGAAGAGAAAAUUGUCCACCAGAGGGGUAAUAACAUUUGUCUAAUUAUUUAUAUUUUUUAAUGUACAUGUACUCUUGAAAAUAAUGUACCUGAAAUCCAAUACUAAGACAGCAGGUGUUCCCAACAAAUCGUUUAAAGCUUGAGUGAGACUGUACAUAACUCUGGCCACCUGUACAACUGGGGCCUGUUUCACAAAGUGAUCGUAGUGCUAUGACUGUCGUAAGUCUAUGUUAAAGUAUGUUAGUUACGAUCACCUUAGAGCUACGACAGCUUUGUGAAACGGGCCCUGUAAAACCUCAGCAGUGGCUACACAGACAUGACAGCUCCAGUUCUAGGGCCUGUUUCACAAAGUGAUCGUAGUUGUAUGACUGUCAUAAGUCUAUGUUAAAGUAUGUUAGUUACGAUCACCUUAGAGCUACAACCGCUUUGUGAAACGGGGCCCUGUACGACCUUAGUAGUGGCUACACAGACAUGACAGCUCCAGUUCUAGAUCAAAAUCUUCAAGUGCCAAUUUGUUUGUUGGUGAUAUAUUCUGUCACAGACUUGAUCAAGAUUGAUUUGAUUAUGAAAUACGAUGAUUAUACUCCAUGUUUUUUAUCGUGAACAAACUAUUGAUGUGAGUGGAUGUAGAAUGAAGCAUGUUCUGCGACCCCUGUAUGACUUACAGCGUGGACGUUGUUGUACAGAGCGUAUACAAAUGCUCUUCGUGUCUCUUCUAUUAGUUGCUAAAGUAACAGAUUACUACGUUUGUGUCCUGUGUUGCUUGGUGUGGAGAGUCCUUCAGAUUCACUGAUAAUGGAUGUUUAUGAAGCCCUGACAAUGGAUAAAUGUUGUAAUAAUGGAUAGAUUCACUAAAGCCCUGAUAAUGGAUAGAUUCACUAAAGCCCUGGAAAUGGAUAGAUUCAAUAAAGCUCUGAAAAUGGAUAGAUUCACAUAAGCCCUAAAAAUGGAUAGAUUCAAUAAAGCCCCGAAAAUGGAUAGAUUCGUUAAAGCCGUGACAGUAGAACAGUUACAAAAGGAGUUAUUUCUAUAAAAAUUCAUUGUGAAAAUUAAAUUGAUGUUGGCGACCCCCAAAUGCAAACAACCCUGUGUGUAGAGAUACACAGUUUGUGUACCUGUUAUUUUGUUGUUGUCAUGGUUAUUGUCAAAAUAUACCAAUGCAAAAAAGUUCCAGAUCAUGAGUGUUUUGGGUUACAUUUUUAUGAAAUGGUUGCCUCAGUCUACCUCACAAUAAAAAAUCCCCAAAAUAUUCAAGAUUCCCCAAAUAUUUUGUGUUGAUUAUAUGAAAUUCAUUGAAGUUAUAAACUUGCACAUCACCAGGAAAUGAAUUUUUUUUAUUUGAGAAACCACCUGAGCCAUUCCAAAA